UAUGCCGGGCAACAUAAGAGGCGACCCAGUCUGCUGCACUGUUCGCCUCUCGGUAGGCAUGGGCAAUCUGACAGGAAGUCAAUUCUCGUACCAGACUGCGUGUAUCCCGUAUCAGCGGGUGACCAUCCCCAUACGUGUCCACACCUCGUAUCCAGUCAAUCACUGUCGAGCAAUCACCCUCAAGAACAAGUCUGUCGGCCCCCAGAACCCGUCUCGCGACCAGAACGCCCUCCCAAGCAGCCUGCAACU
rnacentral:lncRNA from 1 species